GGUGGCAGGUGGGGGAGGUCAAAGCAUCCCUUACAUUAUAAAUAGAAGGGAAAUUUUGAUUGGAACCUUUAGGUCACAUGAUUCUUUCCCUUUUUUUGUGUGUGUUACAGGCAAAGGGGAAGAUAGCGAUGUACUCAGUAUAAAUGCAGACGCUUAUGACAGCGACAUAGAAGGCCCCUGUAAUGAAGAAGCAGCUGCUCCUGAGGUCCCAGAAAAUACAGUCCAGAGUGAAGCUGGUCAGAUAGAUGACCUGGAGAAAGACAUUGAGAAAAGCGUGAACGAGAUUCUGGGACUUGCAGAGUCUAGUCCAAAGGAGCCCAAAGCCGCCACCCUGACUGUUCCUCCGCCGGAAGAUGUUCAGCCUUCGGCGCAGCAGCUGGAGCUGCUCGAACUUGAAAUGAGGGCCAGAGCUAUUAAAGCCCUGAUGAAAGCUGGUGAUAUAAAAAAGCCAUCCUAGUUUAUUUAAGCUGUGUCUAAAUAUUGGAUGUGUUUGAGCAAUGCCACACCAUAUCAUUUUGUAUCUAAAAUGUAUCUAAAUUUGGUGUCUUACCUGAUAUUUCUCAUAUAACUCUUACUAGAUAAACUCAUUUUAGAUCUAAAAUACAUGUUGUUGUUGUUGUUACUUUUGUAUUAUGUAAUUGUUUUUUGAAUUCACGACACAUAUCAUUGGGUAAUCUAGAUACUUUGUUAGGUGAGUAUUUAGUAUAUCUGCAAAUUAAUAUUUGAAAAGCCAUUAGCUAAAAAGAGUCAUGAUAUUUUUUUCCUUUAUUUUGAAAUAUUUUGGCAUCAAACCAAAAAGUUUAUGAAAGAUUGAUCAAGCAUGUUGCCUUCAGGCUACCUAUAUUUUGCAAUAGAAUAUUAAAUUAUUGCUUCUAGGUAUAUUAACAAUUUAAGUUGGGUUAUGUUUAUAUGCACUUUUAAAAUAUGUACCAUUUUGAAGAUGCCUUUUAUGGGUAUAGACUUAGUAAAAACUGAACAACAUUUUUGUUACAAGACGGAGAUCCAAAAUGGCUGAGCAAACCUUUUUUAUAAAAAAGGGGAAAAAAGGACUUAGUUUAAAGCAUUUUUUAACAACGUCAAAUUAAUUGUCCAACUGUAAUUCCAGCAAGCAAGCCAUUCUAACAGGUAUUUGAUACUGUUGAACUCUUAGUUCAGUUUUUUUCCUUCAAUAAAAAAGGCACACAUUUUCAUUUACAUUCCAGGCAGUUAGGAGAAGGAGACUAUUUUAUUGUACAGGCUUUCAUCUGAUGUUUUUGCUUGAAAAUCUUAUGUGCUAUAAUUCCAUGAAUUAAAAAUCAUUAAGACUAUCAUUCUGGAUCUGAGGACUUUUUGAUAGAUUUCCAAAAAUGAAUUUAACUUCAGGAAGUUUUGAUAAGUGGAUGUAAUAAUUAAUCUAAUUUUGUAUAGUUUUUGUAAAUAGAUUAACAUCCUGCGAAUGCUUUUUGUCCCAUCACUAAUUAAUUGUAGUUGUUUGAUACCAAAAUAAAUGUAGGUAGAGACUAUUAACUUAAAAUAAAUUUUUUUUGUAAAAUAU